GUGAGGAAUAUUGGUCAAUGGGCGAGAGCCUGAACCAGCCAAGUCGCGUGAAGGAAGAAGGAUCUAUGGUUCGUAAACUUCUUUUGCAGGGGAAUAAAGUGCAGGACGUGUCCUGUUUUGUAUGUACCCUGAGAAUAAGGAUCGGCUAACUCCGUGCCAGCAGCCGCGGUAAUACGGAGGAUCCGAGCGUUAUCCGGAUUUAUUGGGUUUAAAGGGUGCGUAGGUGGUUUGAUAAGUCAGCGGUGAAAGUUUGCAGCUUAACUGUAAAAAUGCCGUUGAAACUGUCGGACUUGAGUGUAAAUGAGGUAGGCGGAAUGCGUGGUGUAGCGGUGAAAUGCAUAGAUAUCACGCAGAACUCUGAUUGCGAAGGCAGCUUACUAAGCUACAACUGACACUGAAGCACGAAAGCGUGGGGAUCAAACAGGAUUAGAAACCCGGGUAGUCC
rnacentral:rRNA from 1 species